ACAGGAAACUCUUCUCGCCCCUACAAAAUUCAAACGUGUGGGUUUUUGUGGGUCUACAAAAGCCUCUAAUAUGAACACGUCACUAGACAGGCCCUUAUCAAUUGGGCAUUUAAAAGAUGACUAGCAAUCGGAAGUUGGAACUCGACUUUAUGGAUUAAACACACAGCAGUCAUGGCAUCACCAAAAUUUAUGAUGCAGCGACUAAGCAGGUUCAAUCACCAACCACACUGAGAUGGUUAGAACAGUCUUCCUAUCUGCGUGGCAUGCCGGUGGACGCCAGGCUGAUAGUUAAGGCAAGAGGCUUUCAGGAAACAAGCCCCAGACCAGCGUCCCAGAUGGAGAAACCAAGAGUCAACAGAGAUCACAACAGUUUUCGUCUCCGUGUGCACAUCCAACAUGGAGGUCAGAUGGGCACAUUUCAAUAUAUUUCCAUCCUUCACAAUAGAUGACUGGACCAGAGCGGGGGUCUCACUGUGUCCCUGCAAUGAAUAUAGGCUACAGCUGGAGGUGAUGACUCUACCACAAGUCAACAACAUGGUGGCCACUGUGUCUGGAACAGAUGACCUGCACUUCAGCAAGAGGCAGAUUUGCGGGCUCGGUCUCUGCACUCACCCACUGGACUUUCUGCAGUCAGACGUAUUUACUUGAGAAGUGAGUUUCCUGCUGCAUCAAAGGCAGAUUCCAGGCUUGGUCUCUGUAAAAACCACUGGAAUUGACUGUAACGGAUCCCCUUCCGUUAAUAGACGCUUCCUAGCUUGCGCCGAGGACCACAAGCACCGCACUGGACACCAUAACCACUGCAGUCUCCACAACCGCCGCAGCUUAACUGGAGCCGCGCCGUCUUCCUUCCACCCUGAAUGACCCUCCAGCAUUGAGGACCGUGUGGGAAAGAUCUCUCCUCCAGGAGAGGGUAUCCGGGACACGAAGAAAGAGAUUAAAGCUCCAGGGAAUAUGCAGAGCAUAGCAAUCCCCAGCGUGAUACAGCAAUUCCCUCCAAUAACGAGACAAGUCUACGUUUUGAGGGAUCAAGAAGAACUCACCUUUAUUGAGGGCUACCCGCCCGUAUUUAUGCAGGUCCCCAUCUGGUGGCCACGCCCCCAGGGGACCAGAAGGGGGACUGCGACACAGGACAGAC